UUUUCCCCUCUGUCUCUCUGGUUGUAGCAGAAGCCAUUCGCCUCUGCCCGCCCUCCCACGGGACCAGUCAAGCCCAGCUGGACUUUGGUCAACAGGACAGGAGGUGAGGGAGACAGCCAGACCUUGACCAGACCCCUCUGUUUUGGCUCUGGUUUUACCAGCUGUGCCCAAAUCUGCUACCUUUGCCCUUUGAUCAAGGAGCACUAGGGAGGCUCAGGAUAAUCACUGAGAAACAAGGACGGAGGGGAGGGUCCGUGCGGGGCGGACAGGGCAGGGGACAAGGGCCGCAGCCCCCUGUCGUCAGGCUGAGGAAAGGUGGCUGGAAGGGGAGGGAUGGGCGAAAUGGGGAAAUUCACGAGGUUGUUGCCUCACUCCCCCCAGGUACAUCCUCAGCUUCACCCUGGAUUCCUGUACACAGGGCCGGAGAAUUUCAGAAGCUGAAACGCUUUUAAUGACCUCCUUUAUUGCCCUGCACCUGGUGCCUCAGCCUAGGAAAAUCACAGCAGCGGUGUGGCUGCCGUGAAAACUAAAAGGAAGAGUGCCGGGGAGUGGCGGCCCCGGUGUUGUCCCAGGGAGCAGCGCUUGAUUGCUCACCGCAGUCACUGAAAGUGUCACCAGAGGAGAGGGCUGGCGGGGGUGGGGGAAGUCACCCGGCUCGUGCACAGCAGUGAGAGUCCAGGAGGGCAAGUCGGGGGCUCUGUGUCCAGGCCUCCUGGCACCACCACGACACGUGGACGCCCUCCCUUCCCUGCAGGGUGUCACCACCCCCUCCCUCGUGUCCCCCCCCCCAUGCCCAGCGGUCAUCAAGCCCUCGGUCAGAGCCCUCUGGUUUUUUUGAGACAGGGUCUCGCUAUACAGUUCGGGCUGGCCUUGAGCUUACUUUGUAGCCCAGGCUGGUCUUGAGCUCGCAACGAUCCUCCUGCCUCAGCCUCCCGAGUGCUGGGAUUACAGGCGUGCGCCACCAUGCCCAGUGGUCAGAGCCCUUUGGGCAUUGGCUGUCACUGCCUCACUUGGGACAUUUAUGGGCUUCUGACUUUUGCCCUCACCUGGACCCUGAAUUCUUCAGACAGGGGCUGCCUGCAGGAGAGUAGAGCGGCCCUCACCAAAGGGAAGGGAGGUGGGAAGGAGGGGAAGAAGGGAGGAGGGGAGGAAGCGGGGAAGGGAGGAGAACUAGAACCAAACCUUCCAGUUUUCUUCACAGAAAGCAGAGGGCGGGACUACGAAGUGCUGGGGACACCCUGCUGCGUCCUCUGCCCCCGGACUGUGAGAGGGGGAUCUGCGCACACUGAGGAGCCCCAGAAGCUACCUGGAAACCAGGCCCUGGGAGAGGAAGGGGCUGCCGGGCCCCACAGCCAUCGGGAGCAGAGCCCAGCUCACAGAUGAAGACAGGAGAGGGCAGUGGCUUGCCCUGGGGCCACAGCCAGCCCAGCACAUCCUGGAGCCGGGACCGCCCCUCUCCACAUGCUUGCUUGGUGUCACCACACCGCCCAAGACCCAGCUGCUGCUGCAUCCCACAGCCUCCCGGCUCCUCCUAAGGAGAGGACACUCUGAAGACUGGGCACAGAGACAGGCCCUCUGGACGAACGACACGGUGGUGGCUGGUGCUGGGCGACCGGACCCUCUAUCGGCUGGAACAGGAGUGUGGAGGCCAGCUCACCUGACAGGGAGAGACUGGGUGGGACCAGCACCAGGCGACAAGGAAGCACCUGUUAGGAGUGAGCCCGGGCCAGGUACUUGCAAGAUGCAAGAUGAUGACAUUCAGCCCAGGCAGAGCGGCCAGGUGUGUGAGCAGCUGUCUUAGGGCUGGUGCCCUGAGGGGACAGCCUCUACUGAGGGCAACCAAGUCUUCGCCCUUCCGUCCUUCCUGCCCAAUGAGACCACGAUGAGGACACAAAUGCCCCCUACUGAGCUUCCAGGGAGGACAGAGUUCCACGGCUGCCUGUCCCGCAGGGUGGGUUGGUGUCCUUCCGUGUUCCUGGAACAGCCUUGAGUGCCAUACUUCACUCCACGCCCUGGUCUCUCAUUGUCUGUGAGGCGUACACGGCAGCCCUGCAUGCAAAGUGGGAGGUGGGGAGGAAACGCAGGAGCCAGCGCCAGAGUCAGAGGCUGCCAGCCCCUGAAGAUAAAUAAGCUUUAAACUGGGAGGCUCCAGAGGGCUGAGAGCAGGCGAAGGAAUCUCCACCCAGGUUUGGGAGGCAAAUAAGAUCCACAGCUUCUUGUUCAGGGAACUGUGGGUUCAGGGUAAAAAUCAGAUAAGCUAAUGAGGGAGCCAGUAUAUUGUAAUCUGAGGGGGGAAAAAAGAAUUCUAUUUUCACAGUGAGGAAACUGAGGGCCGGAGAGGAGAUAUGACUUGUCCAAGGUCAAUCAAUGAGUGUGAAAGUGCACACAAGGCUCCAACCGGCACCACUACCCUGACUUCCCUGUGUGUUAGUCAGCUUUCUGUUACUGUAACAAAAUACCAGGGAUAAACAAGUGAAAGCGGGGAAAGGUUUAUUUGACUCACAAUUUCGGAGGGCUCACUCCACAGCCACCUGGCCCUGCUCCCUUUGGGCCUGUGGCAAGGCAGGACAACAUGGCAGGAAUACACGGCUGUCUUGGCUAUUUUUCUCUCAUUGCUGAAACAAAAUACUUGACGCCCAGAAUUAAGGCAGGAAAGUUUUAUUUAGCUCACAGUUGGUGGAGGUUUCAGUCCACACUCCACUGACUCCAAGGCAGAGUAGCACAAGGCAGAGGCAACAGGUCAUGGCGGUGGUGGAAAAGAGCAAAAGCAACAAGAACAAAAAAGGGAGAAGCAGCAGCAAGUCUUUUUCCCUCCCUUCUCUUGUAUGCAGGCUGUCUGCCCCAGGGCAGCUAUAGCACUCACACCCAUAAUCCUAGCACUGGACCAUGAAUCAGUCAUAAACUCUAGAAGCCACCCCACGACUGCAUGAGGCUUUAGGGGGGACAUCCAGACACAACCAUAACAAUAGCAGAGAUGCUGCUGGCCUCCUGGUGGCUGGGAAGCAGAGAGAAGGAGAGCAAGGGGCUGAGGUCCCGGCAUCCCCUUCAACCUACUAUGCCCUUCCUCUUAAAGGUGCCACAACUUUCCAUUAGCACCACGGGCUGGGGUUCAAGUCUUGAACACGUGGGCCUUUGAGGUACAUUUAAGACCCAAAGCGUAGCACCAGAGAGUGGAUUCCAUAGCCAGGACGGCUUUCCUCAGGUCUCGCGAAUGAUGUUAAUACAGAUUGCGGGUCCUUUACACUGUAGUAUAAAGUUGUGAUCCACAUGCUUGGCAAAGACAUAGCAACAAACAGGACUGGAGGGGAACGUAAAAGCAUAGAGGCUGGGGAUGAGAUGGGACAGUUAGGGAACAUGUACAUCUUGGGUCUAGGAGGGGCCUCAAAGAACCUGGGCAAUGGGGGAUGAGGAAGACUAUCUCAAGUCAGACAGAGAGCUGACGGAGCCAAAUACAAAACUACCAGAGUCUCCGAAGGCUUUGUGUCCUGACUCUCUCUCCCCGGAGUUGGGUGUUGCGGCUGGAGUUAGACAGUGGAGACCCGUCCUCUGGGCCUCCCCUCCACCUCUGGGUCCCCAGGAGAGCUGCCCUGGGAGCAGGUGGAGCCCAUCUCAUUUUCCCGUCCUUGUGCAGAAGGAAAGAGGAAAGGAAAGGAGAACCUGGGAGGGUCACUGAGGCUCGCUGGGCCGCCCUGUCCAGUGGAAAGGCCAGGAGGAGCCUUGGUGCCGCCAGGGGACUUGUUUACUAGAAGCCGAGGCUGGCAGGGAGCAUGAGACUCUGAAAGGGCAGAGUCUAAAUCGUCAUUCCCAAUUUGAAUGAACUCUGAGGGCUGUACAGUUUCGUUUUGUGUUUUAUUUCUUUUCCUUGAUCUCUGUCGGCUUCGCCCACUCCGCCCUCCAUCCACCUGCCAUGGAAACGAACUUGGAGGAAACAAACAAAGCACACAGAAGGACGUUUCCAGCGCACAUCAUUCCACCCCCUGCGUGAGCGAGCAGGGGCCAACACGUCUGUGUGCU
ensembl:lincRNA